AUAGUUCUUUUAAGUGCACCAUUUAAUAAAGUCCAGGGAGAUGGAUGCAGCAUGAGAAUUGGUGAUAGGAGCCAAGGUGAGAAUGCCACAAUGACUAGGAUCAUGCAAUAAGCGGUGGCAAAAGAAGCAGACAGGCACACAAGGAUCAGGGAGAGAUUUGUAUGAUAGCUUAUGAAGAGGGUGAAAAGGAAAAUUGAAAGUUCCCACCCUAUGAAUUUCUAAUAGAAGGUUUUGAGAAGGGGAAGGAACAUUGUAAUCAUUUUUGAGAAAGGAGAUGGUAACAGAGUAGGAAUCAGAUCCAGGAUACUGCCACUGGAUAACCACAAUGCUCUUGCUACUGCUCCAUUAGGCUUAUGUAUUCUGCCAAAUAGUGUCUCCUACAUGCUGCAUUAUGUUAUUAUAUAUCUAUAUUAUAAUACAAAUAGUGAGGGGAACCUUUGCCCUUGCAGUUAGUUUCCAAUGUCUAAGGGACAUGAGAAGCCAUUUUAAAUAAAGUUAUGGGAUUUUGGGAAUUCAAAAAUGUGCAUGCAGUGCAAUGUGUGGUUAAGAUUUCGCUUGCAAAGGCAUUCAGUGGUUUAUAUUCCC